rnacentral:rRNA from 1 species
GUGGGGAAUAUUGGACAAUGGGCGAAAGCCUGAUCCAGCCAUGCCGCGUGUGUGAAGAAGGUCUUCGGAUUGUAAAGCACUUUAAGUUGGGAGGAAGGGCAGUAAGUUAAUACCUUGCUGUUUUGACGUUACCGACAGAAUAAGCACCGGCUAACUUCGUGCCAGCAGCCGCGGUAAUACGAAGGGUGCAAGCGUUAAUCGGAAUUACUGGGCGUAAAGCGCGCGUAGGUGGUUUUGUAAGUUGGAGGUGAAAUCUCCGGGCUCAACCUGGGAACUGCCUCCAAAACUGCAUGACUAGAGUACGGUAGAGGGUAGUGGAAUUUCCUGUGUAGCGGUGAAAUGCGUAGAUAUAGGAAGGAACACCAGUGGCGAAGGCGACUACCUGGACUGAUACUGACACUGAGGUGCGAAAGCGUGGGGAGCAAACAGGAUUAGAAACCCCUGUAGUCC